rnacentral:misc_RNA from 1 species
UCCAAAGUCUCUCAAAUGUGUUUUCCUUGGGUACUCCCAGCUCCAAAAAUGGUACCGUUGUUUCUCUCUUACUCAUAAUCGUUAUCUUAUUUCUGCAGAUGUCACAUUUUUUUGAGUCCACUCCAUUUUUUUCUCAAUCAUCUGUGUAUGAGAGUCGGGGAAAGGAGGAUUAUCUCUUAACAUGUACUGUCCAAUCAAUGUUUAGUCCUCUCCCACAGCAUGUUCCUUCU